UUCAAACACCGUUUCUCGUAGGUUCACCGAAGUUAAGCAACGUCGAGCCUGGUCAGUAACUAGAUGGAUGUCAUCUUGGGAAUACCAGGUGAUGUAUG